rnacentral:lncRNA from 1 species
GUGAGAGAAGAGGAGGAAAGACAAAUGCAGAGGCCAAAUAAAAUGCCAAGUAACACACAGCAGGCACAAGAAUGUGUCCCUGAGGAAGGUCGCCCAGACUCAGCUGUCCCGAUGCUCAAAGACAAGAAAGAUGAAUUCUCAGCACUGCAGGGUUUGUUUAAUACACAGCUUAGGCUCUAAGCAAAGGUCCAAGGACACAGCCUUCAUCCUCCC